GAUUUCCACCAACUCCUGCGGAGGAAGGGGCGUCUUGACAUCCCCAGUGCAAGAUUCUACGCCGCAGAACUUGUGUGUGGAAUUCAAUAUCUGCAUUCUAAGGGCAUCAUCCACCGAGAUCUCAAGCCUUCCAACAUCCUGGUGACUGAAACGGGCCAUAUUAAGAUUGCCGACUUCGGUCUGGCACUUGAGAACAUCUAUGGAGACCGAACAGCCACAGAAUACACUGGAACACCGGGCUUCAUUGCUCCUGAGAUCCUGGCUGCGGAGGAGUACAAUGCUGGAGUAGACUGGUA